AUGCACGCUGGCGGCGUGCCUAAUACCUGCCAGUCGAGCGAACGGACGAGAAGCUUGCUUCUCUGAUGUUAGCGGCGGCCGGGUGAGUAACACGUGGAUAACCUACCUAUAAGACUGGGAUAACUUCGGGAAACCGGAGCUAAUACCGGAUAAUAUUUUGAACCGCAUGGUUCAAAAGUGAAAGACGGUCUUGCUGUCACUUAUAGAUGGAUCCGCGCUGCAUUAGCUAGUUGGUAAGGUAACGGCUUACCAAGGCAACGAUGCAUAGCCGACCUGAGAGGGUGAUCGGCCACACUGGAACUGAGACACGGUCCAGACUCCUACGGGAGGCAGCAGUAGGGAAUCUUCCGCAAUGGGCGAAAGCCUGACGGAGCAACGCCGCGUGAGUGAUGAAGGUCUUCGGAUCGUAAAACUCUGUUAUUAGGGAAGAACAUAUGUGUAAGUAACUGUGCACAUCUUGACGGUACCUAAUCAGAAAGCCACGGCUAACUACGUG
rnacentral:rRNA from 1 species